CAGCCGCCGCGGUAAUACGAAGGGUGCAAGCGUUACUCGGAAUUACUGGGCGUAAAGCGUGCGUAGGUGGUGGUUUAAGUCCGUUGUGAAAGCCCUGGGCUCAACCUGGGAAUUGCAGUGGAUACUGGAUCACUAGAGUGUGGUAGAGGAUAGUGGAAUUUCCGGUGUAGCAGUGAAAUGCGUAGAGAUCGGAAGGAACAUCUGUGGCGAAGGCGACUAUCUGGGCCAACACUGACACUGAGGCACGAAAGCGUGGGGAGCAAACAGGAUUAGAUACCCCCGUAGUCCCUGUCUCUUAUAC
rnacentral:rRNA from 1 species